rnacentral:rRNA from 1 species
GACGAACGCUGGCGGCGUGCCUAAUACAUGCAAGUCGAGCGGACUUUCAAGAAGCUUGCUUUUUGAAAGUUAGCGGCGGACGGGUGAGUAACACGUGGGCAACCUGCCUGCAAGACGGGGAUAACUCCGGGAAACCGGGGCUAAUACCGGAUAAUAUCUUCCUUCGCAUGAAGGAAGGUUGAAAGGCGGCGCAAGCUGCCGCUUGCAGAUGGGCCCGCGGCGCAUUGGCUAGUUGGUGAGGUAACGGCUCACCAAGGCGACGAUGCGUAGCCGACCUGAGAGGGUGAUCGGCCACACUGGGAAGGAGACACGGCCCAGACUCCUACGGGAGGCAGCAGUAGGGAAUCAUCCGCAAUGGACGAAAGUCUGACGGAGCAACGCCGCGUGAGCGAAGAAGGUCUUCGGAUCGUAAAGCUCUGUUGUCAGGGAAGAACAAGUACCGUUCGAACAGGGCGGUACCUUGACGGUACCUGACCAGAAAGCCACGGCUAACUACGUG